AAAAAAAAAAACAAUCCUCUUCCUCUUUAUAGCUUUUCACAUAACUUAAGAUUUUGGUCACAUCUCCUCUUAUUUUUUUUCUAUUUUAGACAGAACAACCCCAUUUUGUUCAACCUUCUCUUACAUGUUGUUUUCUUCACCUCUGAUUGUAUUUUUUGUUCUCUCCAGACUCUCUUCACUUGGCCCACCUCUUUCUUGAAAUGUGGUGGCCAGCACUGUACAACUACUGCUGGAUCUGAAUAGCCUGGAAAGAUUGUCCUUGUGUGUUUGCUCUGAUUGCAUAUCCCAUUACACUUCAUGUCUCUUUCACAGUAGUGUGUCCCCGUUGGCACAUAUGCGACUUGAAAGCCAUAGACAGCCACUGUUUCUCAUCUGCAGAACUUCUGCUUAGCCAGUAUUUCCUCCCUCCUAUUCACAUUUUUAGCACAAGAUUAGAACCAUGUAGUUACCUGGGUGAAAUAUUGUCCUAUUUUUCUGGACUUCCGUUUCUUCAGUUUGUCAUUCUGAACAGUCCUCUCCUCCAGCAUAUAGACAGUAGUCCUCAAGACAGUGAAGUAAAUGCUAUAUGGUCAAAGUUGUGUAAGAUGCUGUCUGAGUUUAGUCACAUCUAUGUAGUCUGUGCAGCCUCCAGUGCUAAUUCAGAGAACUAAGUAGGUCGGAAGCUCCACUGACUGUAAGACUACCUCUAGGUUAGGUGCCUAAAAUCAGAUGUUAUGAUAUCUUUCCUCUAUGCUCCGACAGUCUCUGUGUAUGUAACUCAUCUCAUCUAGCUUCAGCCCCUAAAGAGUUCAAGGUGUCCAGCUGAAGCUACUUGUCUGAAAUGCCAGGGGACUUUCCAGAGAGUAAUUCAUCCAGUCUUUCUCAGCCAUUGAUCUCACUUGGGAAGGAACCAUUCGUUGGACAAGCUAUCUCACUGGACACUGAGGGAGCCUAGAUGACUAAGAUUUGGACUGUUAACAUUAAAUGGGAUGGAUCUAGGCCUACACCUGAGCUUAUUUGUCUGUAAAGCUGGAUAAUUCUACCUGUUUCAUGAGGAUAUUUAAAGCCUAAGUGGUGCUUUUGAAUGGACUCAGUUGAUGAAGUAGUUUAGAAGUGUAAGGGUAAAUUAUGAAGGAAGAAAAGCAUACAUCUAGUACCUCUAGGCACACAAAGAGUUUUUGUCUUGCUUUUGGAAAUGUUCCAUGAAACAGCAAUGAAUGGAAGAGCCUCCUGGUCAAAUAAACAGCGCAUGCAUUCUACUUUUUAAUAAUUUGUGUCCAGUUAAUGGUACAAUAUGAUAUGGCUUUACAGGUUGGAGCAAGUUUUGCAAAAGCUUAUUAUGUGACCUUUGUUGUCUUCUGUCAUUGUAAGAUUCUUCAGCCCACCAGAACAAGGUUACCCUAGUGCAAUUAAGGUUUGAGAAUCAUGUUUGUAUUUGCCUUGUGUUGAAAUCUGUCCUGCGUUUUGUAUGCCAGAAGGCUCUUUGGUCUGAGACAAUUUUUUUUUUUUUUAAUAGCUGAUAUGCUAUCUUUUAAAUCAAUGACUUUUGGAGGAAAUAAUAAAAUAAAGUAGCAUUAAGUUGUGGAGAGAGGGGGGAAUGAGAAGAAAAUGAGAAAUGGAAAAAGGAGAAAUAAUGAGACUUGACUCUUUUCUGCUGUAAUGGAUUUUGCCUAAUAUUCAAGUUCAGCAUACAAAUGAAGCUGUGCUGGUUAUGUAGUGUUGAUACUGAAUUGAAAGAAAAGUUGUUUAUUGAAAAUUUGUGCAGAAAAAGAGAGGGCUGACUGUUGUUUUGCACUGAGAAAUGCUCUGACCCAUAAAGAGAGCAAUAUAAGUUCCUAAAUAAAUGGUUGCCUAAGAACUGUCAUUACUCCAUCUGAUAGGAGUUUAGUUUUUAAUAUUUAUUACUUUCUGAGAUAGUGGAAUAUGAGAAAUGAUUUUCUGAAAUUGGGCAAUAAGCUAUGAUUUUCAUCAGGAAUUAUUUAUAAAAAUACACUUUUCUGGACAUGGUAAAAAUGCAAACAUAAAAAUAUCAGCUUAUCUUCUAUUGACAUACUCUGAAUAAGGUGGUCUGAGCAAUCCCUUCCCUAUUCAUUAUCCACAUUUUUAUAAUUCUUUUUUUUUCUUGUGGAAUUCAUUCUAGCAGGUAAUGAAUCCCAGUAGAGAAAUCAUAAUCUUAAAUGGGCAGAAUAAUAAAAGAACACUGAUCACAUGAAUAUUUAUGAAAAUUCUGAUUAGAGACAGCUUUUAGCUACAAAAAUUACAUCUUGAUUCAAACAUACUAAAAAUUUAGAGAUGUUUCUCAAGGUGUCAUGGAGUUAACACUGAAUAGACCAGUUCAGUGCUGUAAAGUUGAAAGUCUGCAGCCACUUUUCCACUUUUUCUUUUAGUAGGCUUUGGAUUCAGUGGAUUGUAAAUCCACUCCUGGUCCAUAUGGACUGUUUGUGGAGUAAGUGUCAAAGAUCUGAGUAGUCAAAUGUCCAAAUCAUUCUCUCCAGCUUGAAAAAUUGACCUUUCAUGUGCAUAAGCCUUAUAAGGUUUAGUUUGGGGUAAGUAUCCCAAAGACCAUAGGGUUUUGGGAAUCUUUUUUAUCUGGAAAUUUUGAAAUGAAUUUUUCCUCUAUUUUCCCUCUAUUUCUAGUCUGUUACAUCCCAUGGGGCAGCCAUUGGCUUUUUGGGAGUGCAUCAAGGAUACUUCAUGUGAACAAGCUGAGAGUAGAAAUGUAACAUUAACACAGUAGGUUACAAUAAACAGUUGGAACUCGCAAUAUUGAUUUUCUGUGUGUUUCUUAGAUCAGCAAAAUCAUCACUCCCUUUCUGUAUUUAUAUUCCUGCUCUGAUAUAUCCCAUGCUCAGAAUUCCUAAUUCCUUCAGUUCCUUUCCCUCUUUUCUUUGAGAAAAUAAUCUGGCAGUUGGGAUAGCAAAUACUUCAGCCACACUGUGUGAACAUCUGGGAAACUUGACAAAAAAAUGUUGAGUUCAGCAGUCAAGUUUUAGUAGUUGGCUAAGUCAUUUGCACUGGAAUUGCUGGGUUAUCUCUGUCCUUGGAGACCAAUAUAAAGUGAGACUUUUUCUACGAAAAGUGGAAGAAGUCUCAUCACUGAAACAUUUGUUAAACGUUUGUGCCACUUUAUGGAGUUCAGCAAAUGGUCGUGAGAGAUUCAGAAUGAACACUGUAACAGGAGACUAACUUUCUGUUCCACAUUAUGCCCAGCUGUGAUCUUGUCCCCAGACCUGAUGUAGUUGUAGCACUGCGUAUAUUGUACAUUUGUACACCUCAGCUAUUUCCCAUGUGUUCCCUGGUUUUCCUGUUUGGGAUGUACACUGCAGAAAUCUUUCUCUUGUUGCUUCAAUAUACUGCAGUUAUGUCAGGCAAUAAUAUGAACCAAUAAUAUGACCAAAGUCUCCAAAGUCUUACUCCUCGGUCAUCAGAUAAUGCCAAACAUUUGUCAUUGUUAGCAUUUUCGCAGUUGCAAUCCCAUGUCCUGGUCUGCUGCGACUGUGGCAAUAAUGAUGCUGUAUGUCUGGUGCUUCUUACAUGGUGCCUCACUGAUCCUGCCAUUUGGGACGUGCACUGCAGGAAGCUCUAGCUGCUUCAGGACUCCAGGUCAUCAAGACUUGAUGAAAAAUAAUGAAUCUAACCCUGAUUAUUUUGGAAAAUGAAUACAAAAAAUUGAAAAGUUUACAGGAGAAGCAUGCAAGAAUGCUGCAGAUGCAUCAAAACAGAAGAAUACAGAUCAAGCCAUAGAAAUGGCACGUGAACAAUCUGUACAAGUUUCAUGAAGACUGAUACACUGUACUAAGAUCCAGAAUCUUUAAAUGUCCCCAGAAGGCUCCUUUCAAGACUAACAAUCCACAGU